rnacentral:lncRNA from 1 species
GGACAUGUCCUUUCUUUCCUUUUCCAUGACUAUCUUUUAAAAUCCUGACACCAUUAGCUUAGAGUCUAGCAUAGCUCUGCCCCGUGCUAAGGCCUCAGGCUCCGGGUAUAUAUCAACGCCAACUGUCCUUCAUUCUCACAUCCUCUGCCGGAACAAGAGGUUCUCCCUUUCCGUUUCUCUGUCUCCUUCUUUCCUCUAGCGAGAUUGUUCUGUUUUAUCUGCAAAUGAUCCAUUU